rnacentral:lncRNA from 1 species
AGAUAGAGAUAAAGAGGAUAGAGAACGCAAACAACAGAGUGGUGACGUUCUCAAAGAGGAGGAAUGGGUUGGUGAAGAAGGCCAAAGAGAUCACGGUUCUUUGCGAUGCAAAAGUUGCUCUCAUAGUCUUUGCAAGUAAUGGUAAGAUGACUGAUUAUUGUUGUCCUUCCAUGGACCUUGGUGCUAUGUUAGACCAAUAUCAGAAGUUAUCUGGCAAGAAACUAUGGGAUGCUAAGCAUGAGGUACUCUCUCUUUGAUAUAAUCUAAAGUUUCAUUGUCUCAAAAAAUAUUCUAUGACCAUUGAUUUUCAUGAAUUUCAUUGCCUAAAACAUGUCAGAUCCCUUGAAUCUUCAACUCUAGACGCAGAUCUACUCUAGUGUUUUGUCUCAAACAAAUAUUCUGUGCUACAUAUCAUGAAAUUGAUUCUUUAUUUAUAUUUUCCUAAAAUAUGUCAAAAAGAUAAACCAUGAACCCUAGAUGCAGAUCUACAAAGCUUUCUUUUGUGUAUUAAGCCUAUCAAGCCUCUUUAUUGAUUCUCUUGUACUCAAACAAGACAUGGAGCCACAAAACAUGGAAGUUAUUCUCUUCUUUCCAUUGUUUUUUUUAUUAGUGCUUAGUUUUAAAGCUCUUGAUGAAUAUAUUCUACAGUAAAAACAUAUUGCAUUCACAACCUGUAUUUUGAAACCAUAAAAGACAAUCUUAAGUGUGUUAGAUCCAUAAGUAAUUUCAUUAUUAGGUCAUGAUUAUGGAGAAAAAAACCUGGGGAGUGAUAUUACUGAUGAAAAUGUCUGAACAGUUUACCGAUUUUACAUUUGUGAUUUUCGAAACUAAUUAAAAACUGGGAAGUACUGUUGAAUAGACUUUUUUACAACAGGUUUAGUCAAAAUAUUAUAUUUUUAUUAAUUAGUUCUGACACUGAUAGGUUUUGUUCUCAUAUAUCUCUAUACAGUAAUAAGCUUUCAUAGAGUUGUAAGCCAUUUAAGUGACUGCCUAGUAAUAUCUGUGUAUCUGCAUAUAUAUACUUUUUACAUAAAGCGUGAAUGUGUAUAAAUAUAUAUAUAUAUAUAUGUAUUUAUCUGCAUAAAUCAUGAACAUAUAGAGAUCGUCAUGCAUAACCAGAUCUGAGUCUCCAGUUUCUUUUUAAGACAUAUUUUAUGUCUAGUAUAUAGACAAGGGAAUUUUUAGUUUGAUCUAAAUUCUUAAAUACCAAUUUUGUUCAUCUAAUACACAUCCAAAUAAUUUUGGUCUCCAGAACCUCAGCAAUGAGAUUGACAGGAUCAAGAAAGAGAAUGAUAACUUGCAACUCGAGCUCAGGUCAAUCUUCACCCUUGGCCACAUCUUUGCACUAGUAUAUAUAAAAUGCUUGGUUAAAAAUGUUAAAUAUCAAUAUAAAUGAGAAAUGCAUAUAAGUCUUGAAUAUAUACAGGCACUUGAAGGGGGAAGAUAUACAGUCUCUCAACUUAAAAAACCUGAUGGCCGUAGAGCAUGCCAUUGAACAUGGCCUCGACAAAGUCCGAGACCACCAGGCAUGAAUAAUAUAUCUGUACAUUCAUUCAUACAUCUCUUCGUACAUUCAUAUUCAACAACUCUUGUAUGGUCUGUUUGUCUCAGAUGGAGUACCUCAUGACGAAAAGGAGAAAUGUGACCAUAUAAACAAAUUUCUAUACCUUACUAUUUAGCCUUCAGAUUGAUUAUUAAUUAGUGCUUACAGUUACAUCAAACAUUUUCUGUGGCAGGAAAAAAUGUUGGCGGAGGAGAAUCGGCAACUCAGUUUCCAGCUGGUACAUUUAAAGUCAUAUAUCCUUGAAGCCUUUAGCGUUAUUGAUUUGGUUUAAUAAUAUAUAUAUUAGUAUGUUUGUUGGGUUUGAUAUAUGCAGCAACAACAGGAGAUGGCUAUAGCUAGCAAUGCAAGAGGUAUGAUGAUGAGGGAUCAUGAUGGACAAUUUGGAUACAGAGUCCAGCCGAUUCAGCCAAAUCUUCAGGAAAAGAUUAUGUCGUUGGUCAUCGAUUGAUCAUUAGAGAUUUGAUGCAAUCUCAUUACCAAUCUACUAUCUAAUUCGUGGCUCUUUGUCUUUAUGAAUGUGUGUGUCUCUAUCAGACUUUUAUUUAGCUUACAUGUGUGUUGUUUGCUUAUGAAACCUCUAUGUAUUGGUUGUGUUGUAUGCCAAACUAAACGUUUGAAACUAUUUAAUUAUUGCAUGUGUGUGAAAACUAAUUAUUCUUUACUAAGCAAUACGUGAUUCGGGAGGUUUCUUUUUGAAAAGUUAUAAUUGGCCUCCGUGCUAGAAUUUUUUUGGAUCACAUUCAAGUUGUAUAAUGUUAUUAGGACUUAGGACAAGAUGCCUUGAGAGUGAUCAAACACAAGCCUUUAGUUCAAAAAAGAGUGAUCAAAAACAAUUUAUUAAACCGAAAAAGACUCAAAACUAUAUUUUAAAUGUAAUAUUAUUACAUGUAAACUGUUCUGUUCACGUUUGUGUCGUAUACAAUAUUUAUUCCCUAAAGUUUCUUUUAAAAACAGAGUUGUGUAGAAUCAAUCACACAUGCACCCUCAUGUUUAGCCUUCUCAACCAAACGGAGUGAAGAAUCAUUCGAAGCAUGUCAAACGGUUGGGACGGCCUAUUGAUAACGAAAUGUCUCUGGACCUGCAAAACUCUUCUUUGCAACACCUUGUAGCGUCUCAACGACACGCUCUUUAGUAUCGUUUUGAUCUCUGGGAUCUUCUCAGAGGGGACAUGAAUGGUGAACUUACUCCAAUCAAGAACGUCUGAGAAGGGCAAGGCGUAGUGAUCAGAGAUGAUGACAGGGACACAACCUAAGCUAAUGGCUGCUACGACUCGAGGGCUAGCCACUUCGUAGCCACUAGGACAGAGACAGAACCUUGCCUUGGCCAUGAGCUUGAAGUAGUCUUCCUUUCUUGGUAAGUACUCAUGGACUUGGACCUCAUCGUCUUUGUCUUUCCAAUGCUGCAGUAGAAUCUUGCGGAUAUUGCCGUGUACGCGGCCUGCAAAGAAAGCAAGGAUGGGUCGGUCAUGGCCGGAAGAAUUGGAUAACCUAGGUGGGCCCAGUUGGCCCAGGGGGAUGUUGAUCUCCGGGAUUGAGACAUCUCGUUGGGGCAUGAAACCUUCCGAUGUGUUGGCGUUGCAGAGAACUCUUAUCAUGUUUUUCAGCAGCUCCGGAUCCGAUCCCGAAACCUCUGGUGCCUGUAAGACGUUUUAUAAAUGUUGCGUGUUAGACACGAUAAGUAGGACCGGCUCAAAGUUUUUUAGACAACUUUGGACAGGAUUUUUUACAAGUUUUUAAUAACAAAAAAAUAUUCUACAACAACAAAUUAGUCUGAGUUUCUCAAACAAAAAAUAAAAACAAAUUAGUAUGAGUUUUCUCAAAGAAAAGCAAAUUAGUAUAAGUGAAUUAUUUAAUACUAUACGAUACUGUAAACAAUAAAGGUAGUUAAUUUUUUUAAAAUAAUAUAUUUAACUUUUUAAUAAAAAUGUUUUUAAAAAAAAUAAAUCAUUUUUUGACACUGAAAAAUUAAUUAAUUUUUUUUGAACUUUGGAAGCAUAAACUAUUAUUACAUAGAGGGUGAAAGCAUGGCCGGCUCAAAGUUUUUUAGGCACUUUAGGCAAAAAAAAAUUUAAAAGUUUUUAAUAGCAAAAAAAAAUAUUCUACAACAACAAAUUAGUAGUUUCUCACAAAAAAAAAACAAAUUAGUAUAAGUUUUCUCAAAAGAAAAGCAAAUUAGUACAAAUGUCUCUAAAAUUAUUUAAUAUAUGAUACUGUAAACAAUAAAGUUUGGUUAAUUUUUUUUUAAAAAAAAUAAGUUUUUAAUAAAAAAAAACUUUAAAAAAAUUAUAUCAUUUUUAACACUGAGAAAAAUAACUUUAUGAAGAAAACGAACCCAAUCAUGGCAAGAAACGAAGAAAUGGUCGGCUCCGAGGCUUCUAUUCCAAUAAGGAUACUUGUGAGUCACGACACUGACGUAGUCAAGAAACACUUUAUGAAGUUGUUCUCUUGAGUAGGUCACGAGCGGGUGGUAUAGGUACUCAACGACGUUGGCGACGCUAACCGGGAGGAGGAAGGUGUGAGCCUCGUCAGGGUGACUAGCCGCGAAUGGGCUCAUCCCUCUUUCCAUCUCGUCCACGAAUUGGCCUUCGAUGCUGUAUAUGUUGUUCAUUGGACCUAUGUGUACUAACGGUGUCUCUCCUUCUUUGUACACCCACACUUUGAAUCUCUUUUCCAUCUAUCUUCUUCUUCAUAUAAACCACAUAUCUUCUCCUCCAUAUCUUAACAAUUUCAUAGCAAACCCUAAAACUGAGAAGAGAGAGAAAAAAAAUGGGUAGAGGGAAGAUAGAGAUAAAGAGGAUAGAGAACGCAAACAACAGAGUGGUGACGUUCUCAAAGAGGAGGAAUGGGUUGGUGAAGAAGGCCAAAGAGAUCACGGUUCUUUGCGAUGCAAAAGUUGCUCUCAUAGUCUUUGCAAGUAAUGGUAAGAUGACUGAUUAUUGUUGUCCUUCCAUGGACCUUGGUGCUAUGUUAGACCAAUACCAGAAGUUAUCUGGCAAGAAACUAUGGGAUGCUAAGCAUGAGGUACUCUCUCUUUGAUAUAAUCUAAAGUUUCAUUGUCUCAAAAAAUAUUCUAUGACCAUUGAUUUUCAUGAAUUUCAUUGCCUAAAACAUGUCAGAUCCCUUGAAUCUUCAACUCUAGACGCAGAUCUACUCUAGUGUUUUGUCUCAAACAAAUAUUCUGUGCUACAUAUCAUGAAAUUGAUUCUUUAUUUAUAUUUUCCUAAAAUAUGUCAAAAAGAUAAACCAUGAACCCUAGAUGCAGAUCUACAAAGCUUUCUUUUGUGUGUUAAGCCUAUCAAGCCUCUUUAUUGAUUCUCUUGUACUCAAACAAGACAUGGAGCCACAAAACAUGGAAGUUAUUCUCUUCUUUCCAUUGUUUUCUUUUAUUAGUGCUUAGUUUUAAAGCUCUUGAUGGAUAUAUUCUAGAGUAAAAAACAUAUUGCAUUCACAACCUGUAUUUUGAAACCAUAAAAGACAAUCUUAAGUGUGUUAGAUCCAUAAGUAAUUUCAUUAUUAGGUCAUUAUUAUGGAGAUAAAAAACCUGGGGAGUGAUAUUACUGAUGAAAAUGUCUGAACAGUUUACCGAUUUUACAUUUGUGAUUUUCGAAACUAAUUAAAAACUGGGAAGUACUGUUGAAUAGACUUUUUUACAACAGGUCUAGUCAAAAUAUUAUAUUUUUAUUAAUUAGUUCGGACGAUAGGUUUUGUUCUCACAAAUGACAUAUAUAUCUCUAUACAGUAAUAAGCUUUCAUAGAGUUGUAAGCCAUUUAAGUGACUGCCUAGUAAUAUCUGUGUAUCUGCAUAUAUAUACUUUUUACAUAAAGCGUGAAUGUGUAUAAAUAUAUAUAUAUAUAUAUGUAUUUAUAUGCAUAAAUCAUGAGCAUAUAGAGAUCGUCAUGCAUAACCAGAUCUGAGUCUCCAGUUUCUUUUUAAGACAUAUUUUAUGUCUAGUGUAUGGACAAGGGAAUUUUUAGUUUGAUCUAAAUUCUUAAAUACCAAUUUUGUUCAUCUAAUACAC